CUGAGGGAAGGGGGCGGUGAGCAAUUCCGUUUUUCUCGUUUGCUGACUUGCAAAGGCUGUUUUUAUCCUUGUUCAGAAACUCAUUGUUCAUGGUUGGAAGGAUUCCCACAGUGGGUCCCUAAUAAGCAGCUUUGCACAAUGGUGGCCCUGAGUCCCUGGACCAGCCCUUAGACAGGCCCCUGUGGCAGGCUGGGCCCAGGGGUGAGUGAGCAGGACCGAGGAGAGGCGGUUGGACGCAGGAGGGCAGGUCAGGCCGAAUCAGGCAGGCCAUGCGCACGCCAGCAGGGGAGAGACGAGAAAGAGUCCAACCUGAUGGCCGACUGUGACUCAAGAAGCCGAUGCAGGGGACAUCCGUGGAGUUGGUCUGACAACAACACUACAGGGACCACCAGCAGGACUCGUGUGGAUACGGACCUGGAGUUCAGGCGUCCGUGUGAGCCGUGCCUCUCCGUGGCAGGCAGCUGGGAGCCUCCUGUGAGGACCCUACCUCUCAAGCGUCCAACAGAAAUAACACCCGGCCCGACCUAAGUCUCCUGACCCCAUCCAGCUCCUCACGUGAGCAACCUCUUCCGGUCCAGAGGAACAGUGGUGAUGCGGUAGGAAAAGCCCCAGCGACCUUACCUGGGGGACCGAACAUUACAAGCCUGAGGUUUCAUCCCAAGGAAAAACAGUUGGUGGCAAAUCCUAGGCUCUUACAUGUGUUUAAAAUACCUUUAAGCUAAAAAACACUUCCUCUCUUAUUGAAAAAAAAGAAAAAAAAGGUUUAUUGUGGAAAAAGG